CUUGCCUUCUGCCAGCGGUCUGGGGGCUCCCAGUUCUGGCAGCCCAUCAUUCAGCUCCUUCCUGUCCUCCGGAUCGGGACCUCGAUCGAGAUUGGUUCCGGCACCGCCACACUGUUCUGGUUCGAUAGAUGGACUGGUGACACGCCCCUUGCGGCUCGCUUUCCGGACCUGUUCUCCAUCUCGGUUGCUCCGUAGAUCUCCAUGGCGACCGCCCUUAUUGACUUAGGGUAACUCGUGUUCCGGAGACCUUUUGGCCCGGCUGAGAACGCGGACUGGCAAGAGCUGCUCAACUGUAUUGCUCUCCACGAGCCUGAUCUCUUAGCGGACGAUGACCGCACCAGAUGGCGGCUAUAGCCUUCUGGACAAUUCUCCACCAAAUCUCUCUACCUGUCCAUCGUCCCCUCGCUUGGCCAUGAGGCGCUCUCCUCCAUUUGGGAGAUUCGCCUCCCCCUGAAAAUUAGGAUCUUCUUGUGGCAAUGA
rnacentral:rRNA from 1 species